rnacentral:rRNA from 1 species
ACAGCAGCAGCCGCGGUAAUACGAAGGGUGCAAGCGUUACUCGGAAUUACUGGGCGUAAAGCGUGCGUAGGUGGUGGUUUAAGUCCGUUGUGAAAGCCCUGGGCUCAACCUGGGAAUUGCAGUGGAUACUGGGUCACUAGAGUGUGGUAGAGGAUAGUGGAAUUUUCGGUGUAGCAGUGAAAUGCGUAGAGAUCGGAAGGAACAUCUGUGGCGAAGGCGACUAUCUGGGCCAACACUGACACUGAGGCACGAAAGCGUGGGGAGCAAACAGGAUUAGAUACCCCAGUAGUCCCUGUCUCUUAUAC